CGUUUCUCCGCCUUUGCUCUCGAUGGGCUCCGCUUCUCCCAGGGCUCCUGGGUCAGCUCAGUCCCAGGCUGAGCCCUCGGUGAGGGUGGGGAACGUCAUCUGAAGGCACAGAGGCGAAGCUGAGCCCGAUGGAGGGCGAGGGGCCUCCCCUCAGGCCGUGGUCCUGCGCUGCCUCAGUCCUGAGUGGAUGCGGAGGUUGACAGAACAGGUCUGGC
rnacentral:lncRNA from 1 species